GAGUGUGUGGUGUAGUGGUUUGAAUGUUGGACUACAAUUCUGGAGACCAGGGUUUCAUUCCUUGCUUGGCCG